GGUGUGUGAGCGCUCCGCGCGAAAACUUUCUAGUGUCAGACAGUUUUAGUUUUAGUUUUUUGAUUAAUAUUAUAAUCGUAACGCUCUUCAUAGUAUUCGACUAAAUUUAUAUAUAUAUUUAUAUAAUAAUUUCGCCGCUUUGAUGAGAUAUCGUCCGUUUUUAUGGCGGCAAAAUGUUGCUCUUAGGCUAAGCCAUCCAUAUUGCCUAAUCUAUGAUUGGUCACAACCAGCGUUGCCGUGGAAGGUGUCACGCGAUAGAGAGAUAGAGAGUGACGUCACGCGAUAGAGAGAUAGAGAGGUAUGAUUCGCGUCGUACCUCACCUUCCACGACAACGCUGGUCGCAACCUAACCUCUAUUGUGCACGUGUCGUAGGCUUAUUAUUUCGAAUUCAACCGUCGCCACAGAGGUGAAUUCUUUGUGCUAGCACAGUGAAUCUUAUAUCUUGAUAUUAAGAAGCAAGAAGAGGCAGUACGAGACAUCGUUUUGCAGCUGCAACAUUAAAAAAACACGUGUAAAAAAAUUUUUAGAGAUUGAGGAUUUUUACAAUAUUGAAUGCCUUUUUGUACAUCGAAAGACAAAGAUGGAGAAAAUCAUUUGGAAACGUUGCAAUAUGUGGUCGCUGCUAUUAUACAUAGUGAAAGAAUGUAAGAUCUAUUUUUUUUUAACUUUUUGAGCUUUUAUUUUUAUAGAAGUUGGAAAAUAUAAUACUCUUCUUUUUUUCAUCGUAUUUUUAUAAUAGUUUGCUUUUUUUACUUUCUCUUGUCUUAUUUCUACAUUCUUUUCAAACAUUUGCNAAUAUUUGUUAUUGAAUGCCAUUCUAUACUUGCUAUUUUGUUGUUUAAUCUUUUGCUUUUCUGCUGGUUUCCAUUUGCUUCUACUNUUCAGUAUAUUAUAUCUGCAUGUUUAUCAUCAAUUUUCUUAAUAUCUAUCUCUUGCUAUUGUCGGCUUGUGAUUUAGAUAUAUUUCAUCAAUGUAUUGUACAUAUUCUAAUAUUGUUUUUUAAAUUUUUUUAUCAAAUUGAAUUUUAUAUUAAAAGACAGAUUAAAUGUAAGUUAUAAAAAGAGAAAAAAAUAAAAUUUUUAAAAAGAGAAAAAAGAUGGUUUACAAAAGUAACUUACAAAGGUAAGAGUUAUUACAUACAAUAUUAUUCUUGAUAUUAUAUUAAAUGCUA